GGAGGAAGGAAGGAGAGAAAAGAAAGCAAGAGAUGCUAUAGGAAAACUGAAGCCCCCAGGCGUCGCUUACAGAACAAGGUCACAUGGAUUCCACUCUGGAUGGAUGAAGACUGGGACUGGUAUUCCAGAGAAGGCAGAAGCCCUGACUUAUGGGACUUGCGCAGUAACUGCCAGGAAUCCUCCUAAGGCAGGUGCCACUGCCUCUAGGUGUGACGUGCCAGCCUCCUGGUCCUGGCCGGGGACUCUCGGACCUUGGCCCCACGAAGCUCUGCAGCUUCCUUGCCCUCCGCCUCGCCCUCUACCUGGUGGGCCUGGCCAGCUUGGAAAAGACCUCAGAAUUGGGGUUCUCCCAGGAUAUCCAGCACAGCCAGUGUCACGUGCAUUGAGGAUUCACCUGUCUUUAUUUAACUGAGGGAUGCUGUCCUUGUCAGGAAAACUGUACAUGUCACAAUGGUGAAUGUGGCAUCCCACAAAGGAAUACACUGGGCUCCUGAGUGUCCAAGGCUGAUGGUUGAAGAUGGUGUGCAUCCACGCACCCUCAAAAAGCCAGUUCGUGUGAUCACCAGGUCCAGAUGUGAAAGGAAUUAAAAUAAGUGAUUCAGUGAAAGAGCUGAACCCAAGCAAGAGGCCCUCCAGAUGUCUCAAAGUAUCCCUGCCCUGCGCCAGCUCCCUGCAGCAAGCGGCCCCUGCAAAGGCUGUGUUGGCCAAUAGUUCUACAACUCAACAUCCAAUGAGUGUGAACCCUUUAUCCAUGGUGGUUUUGGGGGCACAAUACCAACAAUUUUGAGACCCACAGAGUUGGCCCGAGGGUCUGCAAAACCCUGGUUAAGUCCUCUCAGACACAGGAACAGGAAUGGUGGUUGUAAGAUGACGGGCGUGUGACAGGAGGGUGUUGGUGAGGAUGGUGGUGGCGAGGCAGCUGAUGGUGCUAAUUUGGUAGCUGGUGAUGACAGUGAUCAUGGGAAUGAGGACAUGCUACCAAGGCGUGGUGGCGAUGGUGGUAAUGAGGGUGCCCGAGGUGUAGGUGGCAAGGCUGUAGUUGGAGGUGGUGGAGACUGUGAAGAUGAAAUACAGGUUACUGUAGUAAGGCCAAGAAGAGAGCUGUCAUCUCCAUUACGGAGGCUGAGGUAAACACAGCUGAAGAGCAGGCCUGGCCAGCUCUGGCCCUUGACUGAAACCCGCCCUACCGCCAUGCCUGCGCCAAGGCACUGCUCCGAACCCGCUGUGUAACCUUCUGGGAUGGGUCAAUAAAGUACUCAAAGCUGCUGCGGUCUGUCUUCCCACAAGGGUCAGGGACCUUUCCUGGAAA